CAAAGAUCUUCCUGGCUCUACUUCUUAGGUGUUAGGAUUCAAAGUGUGCCACCAUGACCCACGCCCUGCUGUGUGAGCAUAUUUUAAGAUUUUCAACAUAACUAUCCGUUUUCCUCCUUGUAGUGGAGGAGGGACCUGAGGUACCAGUCAGGUUCUAUACCCAGGGUCCUGUAGCACAGGCUGGAACCAGACCCAGUUGGACCAAGGUUGCACUCUCAGCAGCUAAGCUAUUGGAUAACCGAGUUGCUUAAUGCGACCCUUGUUGUCUAGUGUUGUGGUUUUGUUUUGUGUUCUUUUCUCUCUACCAGGCUUGCUCUACUGGAUUGGUCCACGGCUGAAUACAUGCUUUGUCUUUGGUUGCUAGCACAAAAGCCUUUUCUAUGAAUGUUCUUUCUCCUGGCCUAAUUAUUCCAAAGCAGGAGCACCUGUGUUAUCUGAAGGGCACUAGGCCGCUGGUCCCUGAGGCGACAGGCUUGAGAAAGCACCCAGUGGGAUGAGUGUAUCUGAAGGAGCCCAAGCCCUGCUGCCUGCAACCCUAUAACUAGGUUAAUUGUUAUGAUGGCGGCGUUCAGAGCCAUGAUCUCUGAGGUCACGAGGCCAAGGGUUUCUGGUAAAGAGCCCAGAGUUCAGGGUGGAAGGCGAGGCCCAAACAACAGGAAGAAAAUGAGGUCAGCCACACAAGCGUUACAACACGAGGCUGUACUAGGAAAAGCAAAUGUAAAAAAGUCUCUUGCUGUCAGGCUCACUGUAGAAUGGCGGUGGCCACAGCGCUGGGUGGGUCGCAGAAGAACAUUGUUCUGCCCUGUGGAGCGAAGAUCACUUCUGAGGGGCAUCCUAACGACCACGACAACCUUCGGUACCCAACCCAUUCUCCUUUCCCGUGAUUCCUGACAGUGCCACGCCUUAGUUCCCGUUCAGAUGGAGUUCCCUCUACUGGUUUUAGUUCUCGGGGACAUUCUUACGGUUUACUGUCCCUGUGGAUUGGGAAUUAGGCUGAGACUUCAGAAUCUCUUCACAGCAGUUUAGAGCAGUCUGGGAACUGUUUCAACACUAGCUCUGAGAAUCCGCCAUUGCCCCAGUAGCGAGAAGCAGCACCCAGAAACCUGUUCUUUCCUGUCAUAUUGCUUAUGGGUUAGCCUGGCCUUCGGUUCUGACCCAAGUCCAGAUCUGCUGGCACCAUGAAGCUGCAACUGGGCAGUGUUGAUACAUUUUCUGCAUUGCACAACACAUGCGUUUGCUUGCUUUAUGACUUCAUUAUUUAUUUAAAUUUACUUCGAAGACUGCUGUGGUCCCAGACUGUUGGAAAUUUUGAGUUCCAAACUGGGUUUUAGUCUGUUCCCAAGUCUCUGGUGAUUUGGACAAAACCUAUUCUGUAGGGUAGGGAUAUCCUGCUUGUCUUGUUGAAUUUGGAUGCCUUCUGGUUUUUGUAACUAUGAAUAAAAGUGCACACAUAUUGUUCUGGUUUUAAACAUGGUCAGGCUUUGGUCCCUAAGACUUCCUGUGGAAGUUCUGGAGCUGGUAGCUGGCUCCCUGGUCAGUUCUCUUUGUCCAUUCAGAUCAUACUGGUUGUAUUUUAGGAUCCUGAGCAAAUGGAAAAAUAUACUUAUCUCACAUUGAAAUGUGUAAUAUAUUAAAGAAAGGUGAUCCAUGAGAAUAUAUUCUCUUUUCACAGGUCAGACACAUAACUCGGCUACAUCACAUGACAGAACCUAACAAAUGGAGCCCUGACAAACCGGUGCUCUUGUAUCCUUGCCGUGGAACACCCUUGGUCAUCCAGCAGGCUGUUCUUAAAGAACCCACUGCCGGGAGUUACUAAGGACUCACUGCAGCGCGCCUCCCUGAGGAGAAACACAGAAAGGAAUAGCAAGUGUGGCUCCCUGUUCCAACCUAGGCUUGGCGUGUGAGAGGCCCUGGACUCGAUUCCCAAAACCAGGAACCCAUUGCCAAAAGAACUUAUUAGUAUUAUUAGUGACACCAGAAACAUUGACCAGAGCCCAAGGUAGUUAUCUCUCUGUGCCAACAUUUAAGGUAACCUUUCUUUUUCUUAUUUGUCUAUAUUUGCUUGCUUGGUUUUUAAAGACAGGGUCUCAUAUAACCAUUGCUGUCCUCAAACUCACUCUGUAGCCAGGGCUGACCCAGGUAAGCACCAUAGCAGUAUUAUCAUUGUUUGAUGCUAACAGGGGCUAUAGAUGAUGAUGGUGAUGAUGACGAUGAUGAUGAUUUUGUUUUCUUGAGCUCAUUGCAGUGAAAAUGCAUUAACUUAAAUUUGGUCUACCCUGUGGUGUUUUGGGGUUAUGGUUGGGGCUAGAGUUUUUCUUUGAAAAGUACAGGCUGGGUGUAGAGUUUACUGAGGAGUUCAGAGCACCUCUAACACUAGCACUCAGGAGGCAGAGCUUAGGAGUUCGAACCUGGGCUACUUAGUGGGAACCCUGAAGAGUCUGUUAGCCUGGCACACAUUGAGAGACCUCCCCCACGCCCUCCGUGAAGAAUGUUUGCGAUAAACAUUUGCAGUAAAGGCAAUGGGUGCCUAACAGAAGCUGACGAUGGCACAUCCUACAGACCCAGCGAGCUGUCCACACAGUCCCUUCUGCAUCCAUAUUAACUAAGGAACAGCAAAGCAACAGGAAAACUGGAUGUUACAUGAUGUGAACCAUGUAGCAGGAAGUUCGACACCCCCCCACCCCCCUUCAAACGCUGUUAGCAUCUCAGGUUCAGAGUACUUAGAGGAGUAUGUGUUAAGUUUACUACUUUUUGUUUCUUGGCAUCUACAUGUCCCUGAGUUAGAAACGUGAGAGUGACUCCCCCAAAACCAUCCUCCAAGCUAUGAAGUCAGUGGGUUUUCUCUACAACUCAAACUCUAGAACUGUAUAUACAAUCAUGUCUAUUUUACUCAAAUUUAAAUGAGGUAAAAUUAAAUAUUUCUUUAGCUAUAUUGGGCACAUUUGAAGAAACAGUGACAUUGGAUGACUGGUGGCUGCAGUACUGACUCACUCAGAUAAGGGCCCUCGUCGCAGAAAGCUCUCCUGAACCAAACUGUGGGGCUCCAGUAAAACUCAGAGGCUCGCACACGGAUGACUGUUAAUUGAAGGUCUUGCAACUCAGCUCAGGUCAGCAAGAACCAGGCCUGUGGCUUCAGAAAUGGGAGGGAGAGAUGGUCUCUUGGCUGCUGAAACUAUAGACAACAGAUGCAGUGGGGGGUGGGGGAGAAGGGGUUGCGUCUUCCUUGGCUAACAUUAUCUGAGUACCGGAGAGAGUAGAAAGACUCUUGACUACAAUGGUUGAAGAUUAUGUCCAUAAGAUCUAAGAGCUCUCACUAUUCGUCCUUGCUAAAGAUAACAUGGGUCAGUUCUGUGGUUCUAAUUCACAAACGGGGUGGGGGGGAUAUUGACAGAAUUUAACACGCGUGAAUUGAGAAGAAGUUUGAUGGCCUGUCUUUGACACCACCUGUUUUUGAGUUCCUUCUGUUUUUUUCCUGACUCUGUUUUUGAUUGAUGUUCAACAGUCGGUGGGAAAGGUUCAUAUAAUGGAUGGUCUCUUAAAUUCUUGUACUGAUUUGUAUUUCUAUUCGUUUCCCCACAUCCACUGGGCACUCCAGUUCGCUAGAUUCCUUUUAUUGGUGUUAAAGUAACUUUUGGUGACGCCUACUCUUAUCUCAUACUUUUACCUCAUGACUGCACUAAACAGGCCUUAAGGUUAGGUAGUAGUCAUUAAUUUAUUUGUAUUUCUGGAGAAUGAGCGUGGGGUUUUGGACAUGCCAAGUAAGCAUUUUACUGAGCUAUAAUCACUGUCCUUUUGGAUUUGAAGAAGAGUCUCAUUAAGUUGCCGAAGUGGCCUUGAACUUACUGCCUACCCUUCCUAGGCCUUGAACUUAUGGUCCUCCUUCCUUGGCCUCAUGGGUAUCUGGAACUACAGAUUUGUUCAGAUUAGAGUAGUACGUACAAUUUAUGGCAUUGCCUAAAGAAAUUUAAACAUAGCUAAAAUUGUGGAAUAUCCCAUUUAAUUCCCCCCUUCUUUUUCCAUUUUUAUCUACUAGGAACUAUUUUGAUGGUCAGGGAAACACUUAAAUGAUUUAGCGUGAAUGACUGAACUGAAUGUAAGGAGCCAGCUUGCUGGGGAUUAAAUAAAUCCUGCUUUCAUUUCGGCGAAGGCCGCUCCAACUAAGUUUUCCAAGCAUUUGUCAUGCAGCAAGGAGAACCACAGGCCCUUAGCAGAAUUCUCCGCUUUCACUCUGCCGGUCUCAGAGGCAAUGCUGUCUGCAUACACCGUCAUGAUAUUUCCGUAACAAAGCACAGUUGACAAAAAGGGAACCGCCAAGAAAAUAGAUUUGUUUCUGCAGAUGGCAGGAGAAGGGAUGGGGUACCUGGCCAUGUUUCACAACACAGUUCACAACAUCCCAGUCUCUCUGCUGCUCAGUCUUUCACAGGCCAGAAGGUAGAAGAUUGUCUGUUUGCAGGAGACUCCCUCAGGAAUCGGUGUGAGAUGUUCAAACGCACCCGGAGUCAGCGUGCUGACAAUGAUCAGGAAAAAAAGAUGAACCCCACGAGCAUCUGGGCUGUGUACAAAGAGCCAUCGCGUCGCAGACUCGGGAGUGAUAUAUGACCCACCUGGAAAAGUGCAUUUAGCUUGGAUAAGCUCGAUUCCAGAAGUACAGGGACCGUUGGAGAGAGUUAAGAGAAAACCGUUUUGAAUGAUGAGGUCACGACUAAAGUGUGAAUGCGGGAUGCAAACCCCGGUCAUCACACUUUGAGUUGUGCUAAGGGGCAAGCUGUGCAUUACGUUUCCUUGCCCAUCCCUUGGAAGAAGUGCUGUUCUCUCGUCUUGAGGGAAAAGGCAACGUACAUCCUGCAGCCUCUUGGCAGGGCCAGGAGGUUCCAUAGAUUGUCCUGUGAAAUUCCCAUUUGUGUCGAUGGAGAAUCCAGGCACCGGGAAGAGGAAACCCAAGACUCUCACAACAGUGACAGAAAUCUCCGAGCGAAGCAAGAAUGUGAAGCAAUGGUGUGUUUUAAACCUGAGGUACUGUGGUGAUCCAUUAUCCUGCCAGUGACGCUGAGCCUCAGACCUGUGUGUUCACGUGUACCCAGGGAUGACUAACACACGUGGGAUAUUCCCUUUGGUGUGUUUAAUAAUUUUAGUCAAAAUAGGAAACGUACCUACAGUUCACCUCAUGCCAAAUCAAACAAGAUUACUCACAUGACCCAUGUCUCGCUGAUAGAUGAAUUCUGACGGGGAAAUGUCAAAACAUGACGCAUGGCUUUUGAUUUGCACUUAGUCUGCAGGGAGCUGAGCGGUGGCUCUCUCCAAAGGAGAAAAACCCCAGCUAGGGCUUCCCUGGAAACUUCUACAAGAAUUCAUACAGAACUGGCCCCCAGCUGCCAUUUAAAAGGUCUCUUCUCUUGGAGUAUCCAAACACACUCCAAUGUCCUCAGACUGGCCAUUUCGGCCUUCAGCUUCGGAAAGUCGUGAUAACUCAGAAUGACAGCUAGACAUGGAAGUAGAAGAAUGACAAGGAUAAACAGGUAUGGGGGUGGGGGGUGGGGACAGAGCAAGGGCCACACUUACUGUAAGGACACUAAGGCUUCCACAAACCUCUAUUAUCACCCACAAGUCAUAUCAGGUGGGAGCCCUGUGAGGUAACUCUGUUGUCCUUAUUUCAAGGUCAAGACUUAGGACCUUGUGUGUGUAUGUUGUGUGAGUUUGAGUGUGUGUGUGUGUGUGUGUGUGUGUGUGUGUGUGUGUGCCUAGAGGUUGAUACUGAGUACCUUCCUCAGUAGAUGACUACUUUAUCUUUUUGAAGACAGGGCUUUUCACUGAAGCUCACUGUGUUUAUAGACUGGCUGGCCAGUUGACCUAUGAGUUCUAGAAUCUUCUGUCUCUGCCUACUCCCAGAAGAGAGGGGUGACAGGUGUACACCGUGUCUGUCUUUUACAUGGCGUGCUCAGGAUGGCACUCACAUCCUCAUGGCCUUGUGGUAAGAACCACUGACCUGGCCACUUUUGUUGAAAAUCAAGUGCUAUGUAUGGAGUUGGACUUGAAUCCACAUCCAGCAUUAUUAAAGACUUCCAACAGGGUCCUUCUCUUCUUUAUUAGCACCACAAGGUGAUGAACCUUAUCAUACACAUACUUGGGGGAUAAAUACUGAUUUUCUUGUGUGUUUUUAUCCUCUAAUGUCACUUUUGGUGGUUUUAGGCCAGUUUAAUAUAGGUUUUCAGAUUCUAAUUUUUUUCGGUGGUGGGUGUUGGAUGGCUCCUUUUGUAUGAUCCUGAUAAAUGACAGUUGGUUGUACUGUACUGUUUUACUGAGAUAUUUCUUUUUUCUCCCUGAGUGCCAACCACAAAGGGAGGAGAAAGAAGAGGUUCUUUACCUGGAUUAUAUAACCUGGACACACAAGCUAAUAACAUUAAGGAGGGUGACGACAGCCAAUGAGUGCAGACUUCAUUUGUCAGGCCCACUGUUGGAUGGUUUGUGGACAGGAGUUAUUCCAGUACUCGCGACAUGCUGAGCAAAGUGUCACUGUGACAGUUUCACCAAUCCCACAGUGGCCCUAAGUCCCCGAGGAACCAGGUAAGGUUGUAGUAAGUCUCUUGAGGAACCGAUCUUAUGGAGAUCGGACCUCCUUCAAUUACCUCUUGCACUGUCAGCAGGACAGUGUUUAGAAAUUGGGGGGCUCAGUCAAGUAACUUUACUUAAAGGAACAAAUGAACCUUCCCUGACACGUCAGACUGAGUGAAGAACGUCACUAGGAAGACUGUAAUUGUCUAAGCACCUUCCUUCCCUUCUCAUGCUUUCAUUUCUUACUAGAGAGCUGAGGGUGGUCUUGAACCUCCCGUCUUCCUUCCUACACUUCUGCUUUGUAGAUUAUAGAUUAUACCCAUUCAUAUAUAGAUUUACCCAUUCAUGCUGUGUUGGGAUGGAGCUUUCUGCAGCUCUGUAUCUGUCUGUUUCAUCCUGCCGAAGGUGAUUGUGGGGGAAUACUACAGAUACAGUGCCAUACUGACUGUGCACUUGUGACUUGUGCACACACACACACACACACACACACACACACACACACACACAUGUCCCCAGUAGAUACCAUGUUAAUUCAUACACCUGCAGGAGAAAAGCUUCCUUUUAAAAUGCCCAGCCAAGUGAGAAGAGCCUAUAGGGAUGACUUAAAAUAUUCAAAGGUGAUGCUAAGGAAAGAGAGAAGAAGGCUGAGGCAGUGUGACAGCUCUGUGGCCUAAACAUGAACAAAUCAUGCCACAGUUACGGUUGGCUAACUGUGUGUCAGUCCACUGCAGAGGGACAGAGAGCAGAGCAGAACGGGGGAACACUGAAAGACGCAGGUUAGAAACUGGGAGAAGUUUCGCAUCAAAGAAAAACAAACAAAAGAAAUUACAAGCUCUCUUUUUAUUGGAAAGAAACGAAGACUUGGGAUAUAUUGAAUUAGAAGCACCCGUAAAAGAAGAAAGCGAGCAAGGCAAGCCCAGACCUGCCCGCGGAGAGAGGUGGAGCCGGGACCUGUCACAGUUGUGUGAAAGUGUCUUUAGCUGAUACAGCAGCAUUCUUUUCGAAGCACUCAAGCACACAAGAGAUUUCUCAGAGUUUCCACUCUGAAUCAGGAAGUUUUGUGUCACAUUCAUUAAUUUUUAAUACCGAGUGAGUUUCCUAAACCCUCAUUAUUCCCUUUUAUACUUUGGUGUGAGACUUCUGUUUCAUUGUGUAUAAAAAUAUAUCAAAAUGAAGCUGAUUGUUUUAUCUUAGCCUUAGAUUUCGAGGAAAACUUCAGUAUCUCUUGGGUAUUAAACAUACAUUGGGGCAUUCUCCCUCCCAUUAACUUUGCUUAAUUUAAAAUGGCAAGAGAGACAGAGAGAAACAGAGAGGGAGGAAGAGAGA
rnacentral:sRNA from 1 species